rnacentral:lncRNA from 1 species
CGGGGUGAAAUAGAGCUGGCUGGGCACCCGUCCGGGUGAAAAUACAAGUAUCCGGGCACCUUUUGGGGGGAAAACAUAGGUAUCCAGGCACCUUUCUGGGGGAAAACGCAGGUGUCCAGGCACCCUGUUUCCAGGAGAAUGGAGGCAUCUGGGCACCUUUUUGGGGGAAAAUAGAGGUAUCUGGGCACCUGUUUGGGGGAGAGCCCAGGUGUCCGGGCACCCUGGUUCCGGGAGAGCCCAGGUGUCCGGGCAACUAAUUGGGGGAAAACACCGGUAUCUGGGCACCCGCCUGGGGGGGAACCCAGGCAUCCGGGCACCGUUUUGGGGUAAAACGCAGGUAUCGAGGCACCCGUCUGGGGGGAACACAGGAGUCUGGGCACGGUUUGGGGGGAAAACGGAGGUAUCUGGGCACCCGUCUGGGGGACAACGCUGACGUCCAGGCACCCGUUUUGGGGAGAACGCAGGCGUCUGGGCGCCUUUUGGGGGAGAAUACAGGUAUCUGGGCACCCGUCUGGGGGAAAGUACCGGCGUCAAGGCACCCGUUUGGGGGAGAAUACAGGAGUCCGGGUAUCUUUUUUGGGGAAAAUACAGGUAUCCAGGCACCGUCUGGGGGACAAUGCAGGCGUCCGGGCACCGUUUUGGGGAGAACACAGGCAUCUGGGCACCUUUUGGGGGCAAAACACAGCCAUCCGGGGACCCGUUUGGGGGGGAAAACCCAGGCGCCCGGGCACCCCGCUUCCGGGUGUCCGGACCGGCUCCGUGGGGAGCUGGGAAGGGGCCAGCGGCUCCGGCGGCCCUGCCCUGGGCGCGGCGAGCCACGUCCGCCAGGGAGGGAGCCGAGCCGGGCGGGAAUCUCGGGGCGCCGCCGGGCCAAAACGGCGGCGCUCGCGUCAAGCCGGCACGGAGGCGGCUCCCGGGGCGCGGUGCAACGGUGCCGCCCGGACUUUGCUCCGCUCGGAGCCGAGCCGAGCCUCCGCGAGCCGCCCCGGUAGCCGCGUCCCCUCCCUGCAGGCGGCGCCGGGCCACGCCGACGGCAAAGGCGGCGGCGGCGGCAAGGCCAACAUGCUGCGGGGCCGCAACUCGGCCACGUCCGCCGACGAGCAGCCCCACAUCGGCAACUACCGCCUGCUGCGCACCAUCGGCAAGGGCAACUUCGCCAAGGUCAAGCUGGCCCGGCACGUCCUCACCGGCAAGGAGGUCGCCGUGA